rnacentral:rRNA from 1 species
UACAGAGGUCUCAAGCGUUGUUCGGAAUCACUGGGCGUAAAGGGUGCGUAGGUGGCGUGGUAAGUCAGAUGUGAAAGCCCGGGGCUCAACCUCGGAAUUGCAUCCGAUACUACCAUGCUAGAGUACUGAAGAGGUGACUAGAAUUCUCGGUGUAGCAGUGAAAUGCGUAGAUAUCGAGAGGAAUACCAAAGGCGAAGGCAGGUCACUGGGCAGUUACUGACACUGAGGCACGAAGGCUAGGGGAGCGAAUGGG